GACGAACGCUGGCGGCGUGCUUAACACAUGCAAGUCGAACGGAGAGGCCCUGCUUUUGUGGGGUGCUCGAGUGGCGAACGGGUGAGUAACACGUGAGUAACCUGCCCUUGACUUUGGGAUAACUUCAGGAAACUGGGGCUAAUACCGGAUAGGAGCUCCUGCUGCAUGGUGGGGGUUGGAAAGUUUCGGCGGUUGGGGAUGGACUCGCGGCUUAUCAGCUUGUUGGUGGGGUAGUGGCUUACCAAGGCUUUGACGGGUAGCCGGCCUGAGAGGGUGACCGGCCACAUUGGGACUGAGAUACGGCCCAGACUCCUACGGGAGGCAGCAGUGGGGAAUAUUGCACAAUGGGCGGAAGCCUGAUGCAGCAACGCCGCGUGCGGGAUGACGGCCUUCGGGUUGUAAACCGCUUUCGCCUGUGACGAAGCGUGAGUGACGGUAAUGGGUAAAGAAGCACCGGCUAACUACGUGCCAGCAGCCGCGGUGAUACGUAGGGUGCGAGCGUUGUCCGGAUUUAUUGGGCGUAAAGGGCUCGUAGGUGGUUGAUCGCGUCGGAAGUGUAAUCUUGGGGCUUAACCCUGAGCGUGCUUUCGAUACGGGUUGACUUGAGGAAGGUAGGGGAGAAUGGAAUUCCUGGUGGAGCGGUGGAAUGCGCAGAUAUCAGGAGGAACACCAGUGGCGAAGGCGGUUCUCUGGGCCUUUCCUGACGCUGAGGAGCGAAAGCGUGGGGAGCGAACAGGCUUAGAUACCCUGGUAGUCCACGCUGUAAACGGUGGGUACUAGGUGUGGGGUCCAUUCCACGGGUUCCGUGCCGUAGCUAACGCUUUAAGUACCCCGCCUGGGGAGUACGGCCGCAAGGCUAAAACUCAAAGGAAUUGACGGGGCCCCGCACAAGCGGCGGAGCAUGCGGAUUAAUUCGAUGCAACGCGUAGAACCUUACCUGGGUUUGACAUGGAUCGGGAGUGCUCAGAGAUGGGUGUGCCUCUUUUGGGGUCGGUUCACAGGUGGUGCAUGGCUGUCGUCAGCUCGUGUCGUGAGAUGUUGGGUUAAGUCCCGCAACGAGCGCAACCCUUGUUCACUGUUGCCAGCACGUUAUGGUGGGGACUCAGUGGAGACCGCCGGGGUCAACUCGGAGGAAGGUGGGGAUGACGUCAAGUCAUCAUGCCCCUUAUGUCCAGGGCUUCACGCAUGCUACAAUGGCUGGUACAGAGAGUGGCGAGCCUGUGAGGGUGAGCGAAUCUCGGAAAGCCGGUCUCAGUUCGGAUUGGGGUCUGCAACUCGACCUCAUGAAGUCGGAGUCGCUAGUAAUCGCAGAUCAGCAACGCUGCGGUGAAUAAAUUCCCGGG
rnacentral:rRNA from 1 species